rnacentral:rRNA from 1 species
UACGGAGGGUGCAAGCAUUAAUCGGAUUUAUUGGGCGUAAAGGGCGCGUAGGCGGGAAGGAAAGUUAGUUGUGAAAGCCUGAAGCUUAACUUCAGAACUGCAACUAAAACUUCCUUUCUAGAGGAUGAGCGGAGAAAAUGGAAUUCCACAUGUAGCGGUGAAAUGCGUAGAUAUGUGGAGGAACACCGGUGGCGAAGGCGAUUUUCUAGCUUAGACCUGACGCUGAGGCGCGAAAGCAAGGGGAGCAAACAGG